AUAUGUUUGCACCAUUUUUCAUCAACAUGAUCAUAAAAUAAUCAUUACAAUCAAAUUUUAUAUCUUAAUAAUAGACAAUUGCUGCAUUUUUAUUGUAUAUGUAUGCACAUAUUAAUUAUCUAACAAAUUUCUAAUAAUAAUCCAGUUAUUAUCUUUCUUAAAGGAAAGAAGUCCAAAAACUCAUCUAUAAUUAGCAGCAAACUUAUUGAUUUUUCUAUUUGAAAAAAUAACGAAGUUAUGAUAUAAUUUUGCAACAUUUCGCACAACAAACUCACAAUAUGCAUUGUUUUAUCAUUAAUUGCGAGAAGUGCGAAGAUUACAAGCGUAGGAUUCCGCGAUUUAUGAAUGAUUUGGAGGAGUGAAUGAACGGGGUCGACGCAUGCGCGCCUCUAUCCAGAUUCCAUUCCCAUUCCAAUCUUGUUUCUAUUCUCUCCUUCUAUGUUUUAU
rnacentral:lncRNA from 1 species